AUGCACAUGCAACUCAUAUGCACACACAACAGAGACUCCAGAGUUAUCAGCCUUACAUUGUCACCAUUAGAGGCUCCUUUCUUUGAAUCUCUUAAAAGACCAACCUAAAAUUGGGGAAUAAAAAUGUGCAUUAUCUUCCUGGAUCUCACUUUAUGGUUUUAAGUGUAUUCCUGUUCCCUCUCUGAAUCUUGGCUCCCCAUCUUUAAAAUUAGAGCAGUGAACAAAAUGUAUAUAUUAAAGGGUGUUCUGUGGAGCCCUAGUCCCAGGAACUGUUAGGAGUUCUAAGGCCUUGUAGCCAAAUAAGAUUGGGAAGGCCUGUGUGUCUUACUGGAAUUUCUCAGGACAUUCAAUGUGCUGCUCUGUGAACAAAUCCUUUGGAAGCACCAUGUUAUCCACCCUUCCUUAAUUACUCUGACCGUGGAAUCCCCCCUAGUAUGUAAGGUGCUUAGGAAACAGGCUCGGAAACCACUCAGCCCCGCCCUCACAAGGCCCUCUGCAGCCAUCACACUCAUCACCCAAGAACGUAGCUGCUGUCAUCAUUACCCUCAGAGGCUCAGAAUGUUAGCUUCAGCCUCGCUAACAGCAGAAGGGAACGCCUGGGGAAAGGACUGUUCUAGGUGAAGGAGGAGUUGGGGACGUGCAGAUGGUAGCAGGAGGCUUUGUGAAGGAGAGGCCAAGGGGUUCACCAGGGCCAAACUUGGCAGCCUUGCUCACAGGAGUCUACAGAUGCUGCUAGCUCAGCCUCAAAUCUCAGACAGACCAUCGCAUCCCUACUGCAAACAAGACAGGUGUGCUCCUCCAAACAAGCAUGGCUCUGGGGCUGGCAUCUGAUUCUGAUAUUUCUUGGACCCUCAUCUUGGGCAGUGUUCUGGUGACUGUCUCAGAAGGAUCCUCACUCUUCAGCUUUGCACAGAGUCAGAGAUGGUUGCUGAUGACCUGGGAGCUGUGGACACCCUGAGCAUGGUGCCCUCCAUGACUGAAGCUGCUCCUACGAAGGCUUAGGAGACACACAGGGUCCACUGACCUAGAACGGAGCCGCCUGAAGCAUGCCAUCCAGAGGCCCGAAGUUCCAGGCCCGAGCAACCAGCCUGCCUGUGACAGCGAAGGCAGGCAACAUAUUGAUCGCUGUGGUUGCUCCCUGUGCAUUUAAAUAAUAGAUCAUGGACUGUGGCUGUGGAGAGAGGAAAAUCCUGGCCGCCACUCUAUCAUUUCCCCAGCCAUGGAUUUUGUCAUUACUGUAUUUGCCUUGUGUUACAGUGGGCGAAGAUUGUAUUUGUGAUUGAUGGCAGCAGAUGGGCAAUUUAUUCUGCUGUUUACUUUUUAUGGCGGUGGAUGUGGGAGUAAAUGCAGCCAGAACACUUGGCUAAGCAUUUGCUAAUAUCCUCUAUUGACUGAGACACACAGGGAGUUUAUCUGAGGUCCAUGGACACAGCCUUCACAUGGAAAAGGGGCCCAGGAUGCUCAGGAACUGCGCACUCAGGGACCGAGGAAAGGGGUGCCAGGUACUUGACACCAGUUAACCUGUGUAAGCACCAUGAUCGGCCAAGAAGCAGAUGUGAUUAUCUUCACUUUACAGGAUUCUAUCAAGGAUCCAUGCUGCCAUCAGCGACUUUGCUCCUCUGAUUCUUUUCACCCUGAAAAUGCUUUUCCUCCAUUUCUACACAUUGUAACUCUCAAUCAAGGGUAAGUUCUGAAACCAGUCCACACACUCGUUUAUUUGUUCCUUCAGGCAUUUAUUCAGCGUCACUUAUUUGGAGACUCCUCGGUGCCAGGAAUUAACCCAGUUCUGAGACUAUGGUGAUGAGCAGGAACAUUACAUGUGUGUUCUUGAGGUGCUCCCAACGACUGGGGGAGGCAGACACUCAUUAAAGGAACACACACAUAGGCGUGACGCCACAGGCUGACAAGUGCUGCAGAGAAAGACAAAGACACCAUGAAUACACUUCUGUAUGGCCGGGCAGGGCCAGACAAGGAAGACUCCAGGGUGUCAGCCUAUGCAGCAGGUGACUGGUACCCUUCUGAGAGGGAGGACAGGGGAGAAGCAUUGGGUUUAUAGGAGCAGGCUCAUGAGUUUGGUUUGAGAUACCCAAGCCGAGACCUCAGGCAGGCAGGUGGAAAGAUCUGUCAGGACCUCAGGAUAGUGGCCUACUCUGUUCCAGCUGGAUACGGUUUUUUCUCUUUUAAUUUUGACUCCCAUGACACUGUAUCUAUUUUAUAACACUUACCUUAAUCAAUAAGAAAGGCAAUUUACCUUGUUCUAGAGCUGUUUUUCUUCCUAACUUAUCUUCUGUCAUGUCAUAGGCAAUAAGCUUCACAGAAGCAUUCUUUAUCUGUCUUUCGCACACCACCUGUUUCAGUAUUCUAUACUCAUUGCGGGCUUAAUCAAUGUUUAUCGUGCUGAAUUGGAAGGCAUGCCAGUUGAUAACAUCACAGAUAUCGGACUGUAUCUGUGGAAUGGGCUUGAUUUUCUAAAGAGAAAGUCAGACUGGUGCUUCUCAAACUACCCUUUCCAGGUACUUCUGUUGGACAUCACAGGGCAGGCUCUGGGGACUGCAGGCCACCACCCCCAUGAAAGGGGGUGUCAGUGGCAGGAGGUUGUCCCACAAAAGGGAGAGUUUCACGGCCACUUACAUUUAUGAAGCUCUGAGUUAAACUUAUUUUAUUUACUGUAACAAUUUCAAAGAGGAAAAAGACU